rnacentral:misc_RNA from 1 species
GAAAGAGCAAUGAAUUGAUGGCAACCUCAGAAUACGUCAAAUAAUGAAAUUUGGCACUCUGUGGACAGUGACAUGAACUCACAUCAUCGAAGAGUAAACCAUGAUUACUUCAAAGUCCCCUUGCAUCAUGGUUUCUUCUGAUAAUUUACCUCCCUUUAUUGCUGAGGUUGAAGCCCGUAAGACAUUGGAGAUUGAUAAUUAAGAAAUUGAAACUGACCUUUUUCUAUCCUGGAUGUAUGUAGGUGAGUUAUAAUUUGUUAAGAUCCUUAUAUGUAUGAUCAUU